AUUGAACGCUGGCGGCAGGCCUAACACAUGCAAGUCGAACGGUAACAGGAAACAGCUUGCUGUUUCGCUGACGAGUGGCGGACGGGUGAGUAAUGUCUGGGAAACUGCCUGAUGGAGGGGGAUAACUACUGGAAACGGUAGCUAAUACCGCAUAACGUCGCAAGACCAAAGAGGGGGACCUUCGGGCCUCUUGCCAUCGGAUGUGCCCAGAUGGGAUUAGCUAGUAGGUGGGGUAACGGCUCACCUAGGCGACGAUCCCUAGCUGGUCUGAGAGGAUGACCAGCCGCACUGGAACUGAGACACGGUCCAGACUCCUACGGGAGGCAGCAGUGGGGAAUAUUGCACAAUGGGCGCAAGCCUGAUGCAGCCAUGCCGCGUGUAUGAAGAAGGCCUUCGGGUUGUAAAGUACUUUCAGCGGGGAUGAAGGGAGUAAAGUUAAUACCUUUGCUCAUUGACGUUACCCGCAGAAGAAGCACCGGCUAACUCCGUG
rnacentral:rRNA from 1 species